AAAAUAAUAACAUUUGUACUGAAGACAGCAGGUGCGCUAGGCGCGCUUAAUUUCCUGCCGAGGUAAUGCGAUAGAAUUGGCUGAAUUAUUCAGCUGUUGUAUGCUGCCUCCAUGUCACCGAUUGAUAUGGAGGUUUUUAUUUGCCUAG
rfam:Bacillus sp. OV166 genome assembly, contig: Ga0115450_11